GCUGCUAGAACUGAUAAGUGAAUUUAGUAAAAUCACAGGAAACAAAAAUUGAUGUACAGAAAUCUGUUGCAUCCUGUACACUAAUACUGAAGCAGCAGAAAGUGAAAUUAAGAAAAAAUCCCAUUUACAGUUGCACCAAAAACAAGAUAUCCAGGAAUUAAACCAAAGGGGUGAAGGGCUUAUACUCUGAAAACUAUGAAACACUGAUGAAAGAAAUUGAAGAUAAUGGCAAAGAAAUGAAAAGACCUCCCAUGUAUAUGGGUUGGAAGAACAUAUUUUCAAAGUGUCUAUUAGAAAGCAAUCUACAGAUUUAAUCCCAUCCCUAUCAGAAUAGCCAACAGCAUUUUUCAACAGAACUAGAACAAACGAUCUUAAAAUUUGUAUGGAUCCAGGAUGCCUGGGUGGCUCAGGUUGAGCAUCUGCCUUUUGGCUCAGGUUGUGAUCCUGGGGUCCGGGAUUGAGUCCCACAUCGGGCUCCCCGCGAGGAGCCUACUUCUCCCUCUGCCUAUGUCUCUGCUGUGCUCUGUCUCUCAUGAAUAAAUAUAAAUAAAUCUAUCAUCUUAAAAAAAAAAUUGUAUGGAACCACGGAAGACCUCAGAUAGCCAAAGCAACUUGAAAACUAAAAACAAUUGGAGUUAUCACAAGUCCAGAUUUCAAGUUAUAUUACAAAGCAGUACUAAUUAAAAUAGCAUGGUACUGGCAUAAAAAUAGACAAAUCGAUCAAUAAAAUAGAACACAAAGCCCAGAAAUAAAUCCACAAUUGUAUGAUCAGGCUUUUCAACAAAUGAUAUUGGGGGAACCGGACAGCCACAUGUAAAUGAAUGAAAUUGGACCACUUUAUUUCACCAUACACAAAAAUACACUCAAAAUGGAUUAAAGACCUAAAUGUGACACCCGAAACCAUAAAAAUCCUAGAAGAGAGCUCAAGGCAAUAAUUCAUCUGACAUUAACCAAAGCAACAUUUUUCUACAUAUGUCUCCUGAGGCAAGGGAAAUCAAAGCAAAAUAAGCUAUUGGGACUACAUAUAAAAUAAAAGUUUCUGUAUAGCAAAGGAAAUGAUCAACAAAAGGCAACUUGCUGAAUGUGAGAAGGUGUUUGUAAAUGACAUAUCUGAUAAAGAAUUAGUAUCCGAAAUAUAUAAAGAACUGAUACAAUUCAAUACCCAAAAAACACCUAAAUGAUCCAAUUUAAAAACAGGCAGAAGAUAUGAGCAGACAUUUCUCCAAAUAAGACAUACAGAUGGUCAAUAGACAUGAAAAGAUGCUCAACAUCACUCAUUAUCAGGGAAAUGCAAAUCAAAACCACAAUGAGAUAUCAUCUCAUACCUGUCAGAAUAGCUGAAAUCAAAAACACAAGUGUUGAUGAGGAUGUGGAGAAAAAGGAGCCCUUGUGCACUGUUGGUGGGGAUGCAAACUGGGGUGGCCACUGUGGAAAACAGUAUGGAGUUUGCUCAAAAAAUAAAAAUAGACCUAUCCUGUGAUCCUGUAAUUGCACUACUGGAUAUUUACCAAAAAAAAAAAAAAA
rnacentral:lncRNA from 1 species